UAGAGGCCAACAGACCCAACUGCCAGGCAGGCUGCCACCUGGCAGGGCUGCCCCCUGUGGGGGCCUCUGAGACAUAAAGAAGUUUUUGUUUCCUAUGAACGAGACGUAAACUACAAUCUAUGGUGCCCUCUGUGACUAAAACCCACCAAGUGUGAUUUCUGAAAUUCAGGAAGCCAAGAAUGUAUUCUUUAGAGAACUUGAACCAGAGAAUCCCAGACUCAGAUAACAACAGGCAUAGAGGAUGGGGAACCAGGUGCUAGACUGAAAGAAAAGCACUUAGGUGAAAAUCUGGUUUUCCAAGCACCCUUCCUGCCUCUGCUCACAGAACAUGAAUGUCUGGAUAUAUACCGCCCAAGCAGAAGCAUAAAGGAAAAUUCUCCAAAGAAAUUCACUGGCUCUGGAGAAAAUCUCCACGGAGACUCCCAUCUAAAAAUGUUCUUCAUCAACUCAGCCAGCUCACCUCCUGACAAUACUUACCGAGGCACAAGCCACUCCCAUGCACACGGUUUCCUAAUGGCUCCUUAUUGCAUCAGUUGUUAAUCAUAAAUGAAGAUUCAAAGAUCACCAGACAUUUGAAGUUGUUCUCAAAGAUGCAAAGAGAGAACUAAACAAAUAAAUAUAGUUUUUAAGGGACUAAGAAGACAUCGAGGCAGCAGAGGAAACAAAAGUAAAACCAAAAGACAAAAAAAUGAACCUACAGUAAUUAUCAUCAGAGAGUUCUGAAAAAACAUUGCCUUCACAAAACAAGAUAGGAUACAAUAAAAAGGAAGAAUCAGAGUGCAAAAGAAGAGUUUGUGAAAUUACAGGUAUAAUAACCAAAAUAGAAAACAUUCAGUAGGACACUUGGAAGAUAAGGUUGAGUGACUGUCCUCAAAAAGCCAAAAAAAAAAAAAAAAAAAAAAGGGACUAGGGGGAGAAAAGGAUAUUAGAGAACCAGUCUAAUGUGUCCAACAUCAGGAAUUCCAGAAAGAGAAACUUAAAAUAAUAAAGGGGUGGAAAUGAUCUCACAACUGGAAGAUAUGUUUCUAGAGAGUGUCCAACACCAUGCAUUGAAAAACAAAAGCAAAAGCCCAGCAAGACAAAUACCAUGAAACUUCAGAAUACCAGGUAUAGGAAAGCUCAUAAGUCUGCAGAGAGAAAGCCUAUCACAAAGGAUAGGAAACAAAAAUGCCAUUGGUGCCUCUCACAAGGAACACUGAGGCCAAAUGACAAUAUAGCAAUGCCUGGCAUAUUCCGAGGUAAAAACAAUUCUCAGUCUACGUCUACAGCAAGCCAAGCUCUUCAUAACAUAUCAGGGUGGAAUAAAAAAAUUUUCAG